ensembl:ncRNA
AGCUGGUUGACAUCGGGUCAGAU